CGCACAUCAUCAUCAUCUCAUUCUUCUCCCCCUCUCUCUGCGAGGGUUCUUUUUCUUUUCUUUUCCUUUUUUCUUCUCCCUUUCAUUUCUCUCAAUUUUUAAUUCUUUUCCGCUUCUGGUCACCCCGAUUUUUCUAUUCCCAUUUUUAUUUCCCUUCUUUCUCCCGUUUAUAUAUUUUUCUGCUGUUUGUACGGAAAAAAAGAAGGGAUGCAGCAGCAGCAGCAAAGGUUGAAGCAGCAACAGCAGCAGCUAGCGCUGAUGCAGCAGUCCCUUUACCAUCCGGGUCUUCUCGCUCCUCCUCAGGUUUCUUUUCCUUUUCAGCUUUUUUUCAUGGGUCUCAAUUUUUUUCGCCGUUGUAUGGAACACUUUUUCUGGAUUUUCUCUUUUUCGAAUUAGGAAUUUUUCUUGGCUGCGUAUUUUUUGCUUUGAUUUCAUGGACAAGAAUGCCUUUUGUACAUGUUUUUCUAAUAAUCAAGUUCAGGGCUUUUUAUUUUUUUUUACCUUUGACUAUGUACUGGACUUGUUGUCUUUCCUAAUGCAGAUGACAUGUUUUAGACUAAGCUCUCAUCUCUUAAUUCCAUUGUUGUGGGGAACUUUGAUUUCGGUGUGGAAAUGAUAUGAUGAAAUGUUUUAUUACUAUAGUUUGACUGAACCUGUUGGGUGGCUACUAAACAGAAAAUGCAAUGGAUAUUAAAUUAAUCUUGUUCUGCUGUUCGAGAAGAUAUUGCACACCAAAAGUUGGUAAUUGAUUUAGUAGUUUCUAAUGUAUGUAUUUCUUUUUUCUCAUGUGUUAGUUAGAGUGUUAUUGAUUAUAUAUGUGAUCUUGCUAUUUUCGCCCGACUGUUACGAGUUGAGUGCUUCUUGAUCUUUUCAUAUUUGAUCAUUGUGGGAGUCGUACAACUUACCGUAUCGUGGUUUUGUGUAAUUUUUUUUGCUUAAAACCUGAGUGGGUGUUGUUUUCUUGUGAAUUGACAUAUGCCUUUUGGCACGAUACUACUAAAAAUAUUUAGAAUUCGAAAUGGUUUGAAAAAAAUCAUGGAUUCAAGAUUUUCCGUAUUUAUGUUGGGUCAGGUAGGGGGGGUUGAAUGCAAGAAAGUAUGACGACAAAUUAAGUUGUAAGUGGAAAUAAGGAAGGAAAAACACUCAAAUUCUCACUAUGAUUACAAGUUCCAACUUAUAUAAAAUACAUGGACAUUUACAUACAGUCGUGUAAAAAUACUCUCCCCCCCCUCUCUCUCUCUCUCUCUCUCUCUCUCUCUCGUGUGCGUGUGUGUGUGUGGUAGGAGUACUACUUGAGCCCUGGACCUGCAUUUAUUUCUGUUUGGCAAAGCCAAAAUGUUUCCUAUGUUGGGUAUAGUGGAACCAUCACAUUGCUGUUUUGCUACUGGUCCCCAUGGGGGCCUGGGUGCAAUAGUGUAUUUAUGGGUGGACAAAUAAUUUGAUGAGGAAAGGAGCUUUGCCUCCACUAAACAGAACCUUUGGAUUCUAUUCAUGUUCUAACAAAGGCCUUGUUGGCUUGUCUUAUAUUUAAUUUGAUCUAUUACUAACUUUUUGAUCAAUAUGCAGAUAGAACCUAUCUUGAGUGGGAAUUUGCCUCCUGGAUUUGACUCAAGCUCAUGCCGCAGUGUGUGAGUCUUUAUGACAAAUUGACAAUUUUACUUAUUGCAAUUACUCCAUUUUGCUAUUUAAAAUUUCCAUUUAAUGUCCUAGUUUUUGCUACAAUUCCUCCAGCUUCUGGAUGUUGUACUUUAGUUUGGUGGUUAUUGAGAGAGAAAUAAAAGAUGAGAUUUGGUACUUCAUAUGUUUGAAGUGGUUCAUCUUUUAAUUUACUUUAUUUCAAGUUAUAAUUUUGUUAGCAGAACUAUCUCAGUGCAUGUCAUCAGUACAAAAAAGCACCAUAAGUUACUGAAACUAGUUUAUAAAAUUAAAAAAUUUAGUCUCAUCUAUGUUGUUAACUGACUGUGACCAACAAUCCAUAUCUUCUUAACUGUAUUCUGAUAUCAAUUAUUCCUGUUUGGAAUGAUUGGAGAAAUCUCCAGCUUCUCUAUUAGAAAAUUAUGGAGAAAACACUGAUCUGUAC
rnacentral:lncRNA from 1 species